CUGGGGAUAUAGCUCAGUUGGUAGAGUGCUUGUCUCACAUGCAGAAGGCCCUGGGUUCAAUCCCCAGCACCAGG
rnacentral:tRNA from 1 species